rnacentral:lncRNA from 1 species
AUUUAAGAGUGUGUAUCUUGCCUCUUAACAAUUAAACUACCGCAUAAACGUCUAAAAGGCAGGACCCCGAUAAUUCCGUGACGGCACACCUUGACCGUGAAGAACAAGACUGAUUCUAACAGACCCGCUUGAACGUGGUGCCCGUGAUCUUAACACCUUGGGAGGCCUCUAACGUUGCCUUUGCACCAACUGCUCCAGACUGGCCUUCAGAGACUACUUAAAACCUCAGGAAACUCUGCGAUUGAGGAGGGGAGGAGAGUCAGUGACAGCCUGAGUGACAUUAGGCCAACAGGUGAGGAAACUAAAGCCCUGGGAUGUUUAGGGUUGCUGCCGAGCUGGGACGCGCACGCGGGCCUCCGGGUUCUAACACCCAUGAGCUUCACUGCCGCACCAUAGUGCCUGGAGCAGUUUCUGGAACGGAUUGCAAUGAUUUCCGAGGGGGGGGAGGGAGUCCUCCUGCCCUUGCGGCCACUGAGCCCCGGCUGUGCUAGCAGCCUGUCAUCCCCCCUCCGCACGGACCGAGUCAUGAGACCCGAGGUCAGGUUCCAGCCCCUCCCGGGCUGACUGCAUGAUCUUGGGGGCAGCCCCGUGUGACCUGGAGAGCUUUGCUUUCCUCAUCCCGGAGCAGAGAUCGUGAACUUGAUUUGGCGGGAUUGUCAAGAAGAUUAAAUGAGAUAGAUCAAGGGCUUUGAACACUGUGACGUGUGGCCCAAACGGAGGGAUUGUUGUGGCCAUCUAAGUAGCUGACACAUAUUGCCAGCUUCUCCAGGGCAGGGACUGUCCCCUCAGUGACACCCCUCACCCCCAUCUCCUCUUAGGUUCAACGCAGGUCAAUGAGAUGACCUGGUAAAAACACCUCUAAGCGACUGGCAAGUGGCUCUACAUGCAGAAGGGGCUUAAUAAAUGUAUGUAUGCAUGUG